AACAGGAUUAGAUACCCUGGUAGUCCACGCUGUAAACGGUGGGUACUAGGUGUGGGGUCCAUUCCACGGGUUCCGUGCCGUAGCUAACGCUUUAAGUACCCCGCCUGGGGAGUACGGCCGCAAGGCUAAAACUCAAAGGAAUUGACGGGGCCCCGCACAAGCGGCGGAGCAUGCGGAUUAAUUCGAUGCAACGCGUAGAACCUUACCUGGGUUUGACAUGGAUCGGGAGUGCUCAGAGAUGGGUGUGCCUCUUUUGGGGUCGGUUCACAGGUGGUGCAUGGCUGUCGUCAGCUCGUGUCGUGAGAUGUUGGGUUAAGUCCCGCAACGAGCGCGACCCUUGUUCACUGUUGCCAGCACGUUAUGGUGGGGACUCAGUGGAGACCGCCGGGGUCAACUCGGAGGAAGGUGGGGAUGACGUCAAGUCAUCAUGCCCCUUAUGUCCAGGGCUUCACGCAUGCUACAAUGGCUGGUACAGAGAGUGGCGAGCCUGUGAGGGUGAGCGAAUCUCGGAAAGCCGGUCUCAGUUCGGAUUGGGGUCUGCAACUCGACCUCAUGAAGUCGGAGUCGCUAGUAAUCGCAGAUCAGCAACGCUGCGGUGAAUACGUUCCCGGGGCUUGUACACACCGCCCGUCAAGUCAUGAAAGUUGGUAACACCCAAAGCCGGUGGCCUAACCGUUGUGGGGGAGCCGUCGAAGGUGGGACUGGUGAUUAGGACUAAGUCGUAACAAGGUAACC
rnacentral:rRNA from 1 species